rnacentral:rRNA from 1 species
UACGUAGGGUCCGAGCGUUGUCCGGAAUUACUGGGCGUAAAGAGCUCGUAGGUGGUUUGUCGCGUUGUUCGUGAAAACUCACAGCUCAACUGUGGGCGUGCGGGCGAUACGGGCAGACUAGAGUACUGCAGGGGAGACUGGAAUUCCUGGUGUAGCGGUGGAAUGCGCAGAUAUCAGGAGGAACACCGGUGGCGAAGGCGGGUCUCUGGGCAACAACUGACGCUGAGGAGCGAAAGCGUGGGGAGCGAACAGG